UACGAAGGGGGCUAGCGUUGUUCGGAAUUACUGGGCGUAAAGCGUAUGCAGGCGGAUCGUUAAGUCGGGGGUGAAAUCCCGAGGCUCAACCUCGGAACUGCCUUCGAUACUGGCGACCUUCGAGUCCGGGAGAGGUGAGUGGAACUCCGAGUGUAGAGGUGAAAUUCGUAGAUAUUCGGAAGAACACCAGUGGCGAAGGCGGCUCACUGGCCCGGUACUGACGCUGGAGGCACGAAAGCGUGGGGAGCAAACAGG
rnacentral:rRNA from 1 species